GAUGAACGCUGGCGGCGUGCCUAACACAUGCAAGUCGAACGGAAGGGCGCUGCUUUUGCGGGGUGCUCGAGUGGCGAACGGGUGAGAAACACGUGAGUAACCUGCCCUUGACUGUGGGAUAACUUCAGGAAACUGGGGAUAAUACCGGAUAGGAGCUCCCGCUGCAUGGUGGGGGUUGGAAAGUUUCGGCGGUGUUGGACGGACUCGCGGCUUAUCAGCUUGUUGGUGGGGGAGUGGCUUACGAAGGCUUUGACGGGUAGGCGGCCUGGGAGGGGGACCGCGCACAAUAGGACUAAGAGACGCACCAGACUGGUACGGGAGGCAGCGGGGGGAAGUAUGACACAGUGAGCGCGAGCGUGUGACGGAGGCCCUGGGAGCGGAAAGACGGCCUUCGGGGGAUGAACCGCUGUCGCCUGUGACGAAGCGUGAGUGACGGUAAUGGGUAAAGAAGCACCGGCUAACUACGUG
rnacentral:rRNA from 1 species